UGACUGCAGAGAAAUGCGCUCAGCACAUCACCGUUCGGGGGUUGGUGCGCGUGCGCUGCGUGCAGGAGUUGGACCGGGUGCUCCAUUUCAUGACCAGGAAGGGCCUCAUCAACACCGGCGUGCUGGUGACCAAACAGCCUCUGCUCCCAGAAAGAUUCUGCUCUAAAAACGUUAUUAUCAUCGGUGCCGGGGCUUCGGGACUGGCUGCUGCGCGCCAGCUGCAAAACUUUGGCGCUCAGGUGGUGGUGCUCGAGGCAAGAGACAGAAUAGGUG